AUAAAUACUACAAUUUCACAGGUUUCAAAAUGCAUUCAUAGUUAAUAUUUCAUGUUUAUUUUUAUCACCUUAUUAAUGAAAUUUUAUUGUUUAAUUAACUUACCUUAUUAAUUGAAGAUAAGUUAAUAGAUAAUAGUAAAUUUUUAACUAAUUUUUAAUGCAAUUGAAAAAAAAAUAUAUUUAACCUAAAUGAGUUAAAAAUAUCAUUAACUUGCCCGGCCUUGAUAAAAACCAAGUUAGACUUGAAAAAAAAAUGUCAAAUAUUUUGCGUAUUGUAAUCCAAUGUAUUUAUCAUGCAAUUCAUGGCAUAAAUAAAUAUUCCACGGGUUUAUUGAUACAAUUAUUUAUUCUCUAUGGUAGGCAAGCUUUCCAUUCACUGACAGAGUAAAUCUAUAGUCUUUUAUAUGAAUAUGAACGAAAUAAUAAUAAUAUUAUGUUGUGUAAUAUUUCAUCCAUUUUAGUUUUUAAUAUUUUAAUUAUGUUUUCAACGUGUAUACGAUUCGUAAAAUAGAUUAAAUAAAAUGUAUAUUAUCGAUAUAUUAUUAUUAUGUUUAUUUUACAUUUCCGUAAUAUAAAUUCAUCUGUAACUAUCUACAUCCAGGAUUUUGGCUUGUACAUUUUAGUUUUAACAAUAUAUUAUUUAGAAUAAAAACAAAUAACGGAUGUAGUUAAAAAAAUAAUUCAAGAAAUUCACUAGACUAAACAGAUUUAUGAUACUGAUUACGAUUUAUCGCCAAUAUCAUACGAAACAUUUAAAAACAAUUUACAGAAUUUUCGGUUUACUUAACCAGUUUAAAUUUCCCCUUAAAAAUAAGUAUGAUAAUUAAUUGUAUAAUAUUUUAAUUUCCUAAAAAUCUUGCGGGAAAAAUCGAGAUGUUUUACCGUACGUGUAAAUUGAUAUCUUAAAAUAUUUUAUCGAAGGAAAUAAGGGGAAAAAAUCAGAUUUUUGGUGGGAUCAAAUCAGGGUUUGCUACAGGAACAGCUAUCGACUACAUCUUUACGCAGGUCGAAAAAAUUAAAACUUGAUUUGUCAUAGAUAUUAUUUUUAAAUCGGUUUACUCUAGUGAAUUUUUUGAUAACGUUUGAUGUAUAAUAUUCCCCAAGGAAUAUAAUAAAUUAUUUAUCUUUAAAAAAAUAUAAGAACAUUUUAAUCAUUUGUUUAUAAUGUAAAUUUUAAUAUCGAGAAAGAAAAUGUUAAGUUUAUAUAUCUAAUAUUAAUAAUAUGUCUGUUAAUAUUAAUUUAAUUAUUAUUAUUAUUAUAAUGUUCGAUAUUCCUAAAAAAAGUUUGUUUGGUUUUCCGU